GAAAAGUGCACCAACAGACUGUUUUCUUAAUAAUAGUCAUCCUGCUGUCACAUUUGUGCUUCAGGCGUUGAA